rnacentral:rRNA from 1 species
AUUGAACGCUGGCGGCAGGCUUAACACAUGCAAGUCGAGCGGAGUGAUGGUGCUUGCACUAUCACUUAGCGGCGGACGGGUGAGUAAUGCUUAGGAAUCUGCCUAUUAGUGGGGGACAACAUCUCGAAAGGGAUGCUAAUACCGCAUACGUCCUACGGGAGAAAGCAGGGGAUCACUUGUGACCUUGCGCUAAUAGAUGAGCCUAAGUCGGAUUAGCUAGUUGGUGGGGUAAAGGCCUACCAAGGCGACGAUCUGUAGCGGGUCUGAGAGGAUGAUCCGCAACGCUGGGAGUGGGACACGGCCCAGACUCCUACGGGAGGCAGCAGUGGGGAAUAUUGGACAAUGGGGGGAACCCUGAUCCAGCCAUGCCGCGUGUGUGAAGAAGGCCUUAUGGUUGUAAAGCACUUUAAGCGAGGAGGAGGCUCUUUUGGUUAAUACCCAAGAUGAGUGGACGUUACUCGCAGAAUAAGCACCGGCUAACUCUGUGCCAGCCGCCGCAGUAAUAC